GGAGCCUGAGAAACGGCUACAACAUCUAAGGAAGACAGCAGGCGCGCAAAUUACCCAAUCCUAAUACAGGGAGGUAGUGACAAGAAAUAACAAUACAGGACUUUUUGGUUUUGUAAUUGGAAUGAGUUAAGUAUAAACCCCUUUACAAGUAUCAAUUGGAGGGCAAGUCUGGUGCCAGCAGCCGCGGUAAUUCCAGCUCCAAUAGCGUAUAUUAAAGUUGUUGCAGUUAAAAAGCUCGUAGUUGGAU
rnacentral:rRNA from 1 species